CCACGCAGUAAACGAUGAUUACUGGGCGUAUGCGAUAUACAGUAUGCUCCUGAGCGAAAGCGUUAAGUAAUCCACCUGGGGAGUACGCCGGCAACGGUGAAACUCAAAGGAAUUGACGGGGGCCCGCACAAGCGGAGGAACAUGUGGUUUAAUUCGAUGAUACGCGAGGAACCUUACCCGGGAUUGAAAUGUAGAUGCCGACAGAUGAAAGUUUGUUUUCCUUCGGGACAUCUAUGUAGGUGCUGCAUGGUUGU
rnacentral:rRNA from 1 species